AUGGCGGUUUCGGUGCUGGCGAUCCUGCUCGCCUCUUGCGCCCUGGCGGUGGCGAGCUUCGACAAGGAGUUCGAUAUCACGUGGGGUGACGGGCGCGGCAAGAUCCUCAACAACGGCCAGGUCCUCACGCUGGGGUUGGACAAGGUCUCUGGCUCCGGAUUCCAGUCCAAGCACGAGUACCUCUUCGGCAAGAUCGACAUGCAGCUCAAGCUCGUUCCCGGCAACUCCGCCGGCACCGUCACCGCCUACUACCUGUCGUCGCAGGGGCCGACGCACGAUGAGAUCGACUUCGAGUUCCUCGGCAACGUCACCGGCGAGCCGUACACGCUGCACACCAACGUGUUCACGCAGGGGCAGGGCCAGCGGGAGCAGCAGUUCCGCCUCUGGUUCGAUGCCACCAACGACUUCCACACCUACUCCAUCCUCUGGAACCCAAAGCAUAUAAUCUUCAUGGUGGACGACAUGCCGAUCAGGGACUUCAAGAACCUGGAGGGGAAGGGGAUCGCCUUCCCCAAGAACCAGCCGAUGCGGCUCUACUCCAGCCUCUGGAACGCCGAUGACUGGGCCACGCAGGGCGGCCGCGUCAAGACGGACUGGUCCCACGCGCCGUUCUCUGCUUCCUACCGCGGCUUCAAGGCCGACGCGUGCGUGGUGACCGCGGCCGGCCGGCCGCGCUGCGGCUCCAGCGUGGGCACGGAGGUUGCCCCCGGCACCGGCGCGGCGGGCGAGUGGUACAACCAGGAGCUGGACCUGACGCGGCAGCAGCGGAUGCGGUGGGUGCAGAGCAACUACAUGAUCUACAACUACUGCACCGACCCCAAGCGCGUCGCCAAGGGCCUCCCCGCCGAGUGCUCCAUGUAG
rnacentral:rRNA from 1 species